rnacentral:tmRNA from 1 species
GAUCUGAAACUGCCCGCUUUUUUGACGCUCACGGAAGGCGCAGGUCUGUCCUGCUUCUUCCAUGGGCGUAAUUCGGCAAGGCUGAUUGCUGAUCUGGACCCGGGGGCGGUACCCGGCAGCUCCACCACAAGUGCACGUUGGAAAGUGCAUUUUUGCUGGGGCUGAAAUAGGAUCGACAGGCAGACAAAAGGCCAAGACGCGCUCCGGCUAGAUACCACCGUUAUCGGUUCAACGUUUGUAAAUGCAAACACCAAAGCAGUCGUUGCUGAUAACGACAAUGAUUGGGUAGCUGCGAAAGCAGUAGCCUAAACGGAGCCCGGCCGGGGCUUGGCAACAGAACCCGGCCACC